GGUGGAUGUAGUUUAAUGGUAGAACGUGUGGUUGUGGUCCGCAAAACGAGGGUUCGAUUCCCUCCUUCCACCU
rnacentral:tRNA from 1 species